rnacentral:tRNA from 1 species
GGCACAGUGGUGCAGUGGAUAGCACUGUCACCUCACAUAAAAAAUGUCCCAGGUUCCAAUCCUGGCUGAGGAA